UCUCAUUUAAACGACCCGAUCCCUACCUCUAUCGCGUCCUUACAGCUCUCUAGCUGCGCCAGUGCGGAUAAACUUCGAUAAAACAGU
rnacentral:sRNA from 1 species